UACGAAGGGUGCAAGCGUUACUCGGAAUUACUGGGCGUAAAGCGCGUGUAGGCGGCUUGGCAAGUUGGAUGUGAAAGCCCACGGCUCAACCGUGGAAGCGCAUCCAAAACUGCUUCGCUCGAGUCUCGGAGAGGAAGGUGGAAUGCUUGGUGUAGAGGUGAAAUUCGUAGAUAUCAAGCAGAACACCUGCGGCGAAGGCGGCCUUCUGGACAGUGACUGACGCUGAGACGCGAAAGCGUGGGGAGCAAACAGG
rnacentral:rRNA from 1 species